GAUCGCGUGGCCUAGUGGUUAGGGCACUCGCCUUACAGCUAUUACCUGUGAGGUGCGCGAGGGAUCGCCGGUUCGACCCCGGCCGUGAUCA